rnacentral:rRNA from 1 species
CCCCUGUGAACAUACCUUAAUGUUGCCUCGGCGGAUCAGCCCGCGCCCCGUAAAACGGGACGGCCCGCCAGAGGACCCAAACUCUAAUGUUUCUUAUUGUAACUUCUGAGUAAAACAAACAAAUAAAUCAAAACUUUCAACAACGGAUCUCUUGGUUCUGGCAUCGAUGAAGAACGCAGCAAAAUGCGAUAAGUAAUGUGAAUUGCAGAAUUCAGUGAAUCAUCGAAUCUUUGAACGCACAUUGCGCCCGCUGGUAUUCCGGCGGGCAUGCCUGUUCGAGCGUCAUUUCAACCCUCAAGCCCCCGGGUUUGGUGUUGGGGAUCGGCUCUGCCCUUCUGGGCGGUGCCGCCCCCGAAAUACAUUGGCGGUCUCGCUGCAGCCUCCAUUGCGUAGUAGCUAACACCUCGCAACUGGAACGCGGCGCGGCCAUGCCGUAAAACCCCAACUUCUGAAUGUUGACCUCGGAUCAGGUAGGAAUACCCGCUGAACUUAAGCA